UCAAUGAACUUGAAUAAGUAUAUGUUUUGAAAAUAUAAAAAAGAAUAAAAUUUCUAUUGAUUU
rnacentral:tRNA from 1 species